ensembl:lncRNA
AGAGAAGAGGGGGAGAAGAGGAGUGGAGAGAAGAGGAGGGGAGAGAAGAGGAGAGGAGAGAAGAGGAGAGAAGAGGAGGGGAGAGAAGAGGAGGGGGAGAAAAGGAGGGGAGAGAAGAGGAGAGGAGAGAAGAGGAGGGGAGAGAAGAGGAGAGGAGGGAAGGGGAGAGAAGAGGAGGGGGAGAGAAGAGGAGAGAAGAGGGGGGAGAGAAGAGGAGGGGGAGAAGAGGAGGGGGAGAAGAGGAGUGGAGAGAAGAGGGGGAGAGAAGAGGAGAGGAGGGAAGAGGAGAGGAGAGAAGAGGAAAAGAGGGGAGAGAAGAGGAGGGGGAGAAAAGGAGGGGAGAGAAGAGGAGAGGAGAGAAGAGGAGGGGAGAGAAGAGGAGAGGAGGGAGGGGAGAGAAGAGGAGGGGAGAGAAGAGGAGAGAAGAGGAGGGGAGAGAAGAGGAGGGGGAGAAGAGGAGGGGAGAGAAGAGGAGGGGGAGAAGAGGAGUGGAGAGAAGAGGAGGGGAGAGAAGAGAAGAGGAGAGGAGGGAAGAGGAGAGGAGAGAAGAGGAGGGGAGAGAAGAGGAGGGGAGAGAAGAGGAGAGGAGGGAAGAGGAGAGAAGAGGAGGGGAGAGAAGAGGAGGGGGAGAAAAGGAGGGGAGAGAAGAGGAGAGGAGAGAAGAGGAGGGGAGAGAAGAGGAGAGGAGGGAAGGGGAGAGAAGAGGAGGGGAGAGAAGAGGAGAGAAGAGGAGGGGAGAGAAGAGGAGGGGGAGAAGAGGAGGGGGAGAAGAGGAGUGGAGAGAAGAGGGGGAGAGAAGAGGAGAGGAGGGAAGAGGAGAGGAGAGAAGAGGAGAGAGAGGAGAGGAGAGAAGAGGAGGGGGAGAAGAGGAGGGGAGAGAAGAGGAGAUGAGAGAAGAGGAGGGGGAGAAGAGGAGGGGAGAGAAGAGGAGGGGGAGAAGAGGAGUGGAGAGAAGAGGAGGGGAGAGAAGAGGAGAGGAAAGAGGAGAGGAGAGAAGAGGAGGGGGAGAAGAGGAGGGGAGAGAAGAGGAGUGGAGAGAAGAGGAGAGGAGAGAAGAGGAGGGGAGAGAAGAGGAGAGGAGAGAAGAGGAGUGGAGAGAAGAGGAGAGGAAAGAGGAGAUGAGAAAAGAGGAGUGGAGAGAAGAGGAGAGGAGAGAGGAGGAGGGGAGAGAAGAGGAGGGGGAGAAGAGGAGGGGAGAGAAGAGGAGAGGAGAGAAGAGGAGGGGGAGAAGGAGGGAGAGAAGAGGAGAGAAGAGGAGAGGAGAGAAGAGGAGGGGAGAGAAGAGGAGGGGGAGAAGAGGAGGGGAGAGAAGAGGAGAGGAGUGGAGAGAAGAGGAGAGGAGAGAAGAGGAGAGGAGAGAAGAGGAGGGGAGAGGGGGGGAGAGAAGAGGAGAGGAGAGAAGAGGAGGGGAGAGAAGAGGAGGGGGAGAAAAUGAGGGGAGAGAAGAGGAGGGGAGAGAAGAGGAGAGGAGGGAAGAGGAGAGAAGAGGAGGGGAGAGAAGAGGAGAGAAGAGGAGGGGAGAGAAGAGGAGGGGGAGAAAGAGAGGGAAGGGGAGAGAAGAGGAGGG